rnacentral:rRNA from 1 species
GACGAACGCUGGCGGUGUGCUUCACACAUGCAAGUCGAACGAGGUAGCAAUACCUAGUGGCGGACGGGUGAGUAACGCGUGGGAAUCUGCCUUUGGAUGGGGGAUAACGGGUCGAAAGACUCGCUAAUACCGCAUAUGACGAAAGUUGAAAGGAGUAAUCCGUCUAAAGAUGAGCCCGCGUCCGAUUAGCUAGUUGGUAGAGUAAAAGCCUACCAAGGCGACGAUCGGUAGCUGGUCUGAGAGGAUGAUCAGCCACAAUGGGACUGAGACACGGCCCAUACUCCUACGGGAGGCAGCAGUGGGGAAUUUUACGCAAUGGGCGAAAGGCUGACGUAGCGACACCGCGUGAGCGAAGAAGCCCCUUGGGGUGUAAAGCUCUGUCAGCUGGAACGAAAAAAAUGACGGUACCAGCAGAGGAAGCAUCGGCUAACUACGUGCCAGCAGCCGCGGUAAUGUCUGUACU